rnacentral:rRNA from 1 species
AACGAACGCUGGCGGCAGGCUUAACACAUGCAAGUCGAACGCCCCGCAAGGGGAGUGGCAGACGGGUGAGUAACACGUGGGAACAUGCCCAAAGGUACGGAAUAUCCUCGGGAAACUGGGAGCAAUACCGUAUGUGCCCGAAAGGGGAAAGAUUUAUCGCCUUUGGAUUGGCCCGCGUUGGAUUAGCUAGUUGGUGGGGUAAAAGCCUACCAAGGCGACGAUCCAUAGCUGGUCUGAGAGGACGACCAGCCACACUGGGACUGAGACACGGCCCAGACUCCUACGGGAGGCAGCAGUGGGGAAUCUUGGACAAUGGGCGCAAGCCUGAUCCAGCCAUGCCGCGUGAGUGAUGAAGGCCCUAGGGUUGUAAAACUCUUUCGCAGGUGACGAUAAUGACGGUAACCUGAGAAGAAGCCCCGGCUAACUUCGUGC